rnacentral:rRNA from 1 species
CAGUAGCCGCGGUAAUACGAAGGGGGCCAGCGUUGUUCGGAUUUACUGGGCGUAAAGGGCGCGUAGGCGGACUGAUAAGUCAGGGGUGAAAUCCCAAGGCUCAACCUUGGAACUGCCUUUGAUACUGUUUGUCUUGAGUUCGAGAGAGGUAAGUGGAACUGCGAGUGUAGAGGUGAAAUUCGUAGAUAUUCGCAAGAACACCAGUGGCGAAGGCGGCUUACUGGCUCGAUACUGACGCUGAGGCGCGAAAGCGUGGGGAGCAAACAGGAUUAGAUACCCGUGUAGUCCCUGUCCUUAUACA